UACGUAGGGUGCUAGCGUUGUCCGGAAUCAUUGGGCGUAAAGCGCGUGUAGGCGGUUCGGUAAGUCCGCUGUGAAAGUCGGGGGCUCAACCCUCGGAUGCCGGUGGAUACUGUCGGACUAGAGUACGGAAGAGGCGAGUGGAAUUCCUGGUGUAGCGGUGAAAUGCGCAGAUAUCAGGAGGAACACCGAUUGCGAAGGCAGCUCGCUGGGACGUUACUGACGCUGAGACGCGAAAGCGUGGGGAGCAAACAGG
rnacentral:rRNA from 1 species